ACUGCGCUUCCGUCGCACAGAGCCUGACGAAGGCUUGGGCUCCCCGCGCGGUGACCGUCGAGGUGACCUGCACCUGGCUCCAUGGCGGAACCGGCCGGCACGGAUUAUUCCCCUCUCGGGAGAGGUCUGCAGCCGGGCCUCAGUGCUUCAGUUCGUGGCCUGGCAUUUUGUGAAGAGUGUCUUCAUCUCUGCAUCCCUAGUGCAACAGAGCAUGACAAAAAUUCAACAAAUAUUUAUUGAAGAGUCUUGAUGUCUUUUGGGAAAGGAACUCUAUGGUUACCUUUACUCUAAGGCAUUGUGAAGACCCUGUUUCUCUAGCUGUGCAGCUGCAAGGUCACUAGGCAGAUAAACUCAAGCCAUAAAACAUGUUUUUCCUUGAAAAAUUAGAUGGGUGUUACUGAUUCUUACCUCAGAGAAGAGAAUGUCAUGGAGACAAAAUGACCUGCUUAGAGUUCUGCACCCCCCAGCAUGGAGAGCAGAGCGCAAAGAUUUCUUCCGGACUCCCACAUUCCCCUUGGAAUCCAAGAACUGGUCUACUGUCACAACACUUUAGUACCCUCUUAGAUGGGGAUCUCACUCUGUUGCCCAGGCUGGUCUCAAACUCCUGGCUUCAAGCAAUCCUCCUGCUUCGGCCUCCCAAACUUCUGGGAUUACAGAUAUGAGCCACCACGGCUGGCUGACAGGCACCAAAUUCUAGGAGAGGACUUGAAUAGACUCCCAAGGAGGCAGCAGAAACUGGGGUAAUCACAACGGUCAACAGCAGCAAAGGCAGCACUUUCUG
rnacentral:lncRNA from 1 species